rnacentral:rRNA from 1 species
AGAACGAACGCUGGCGGCAUGCCUAACACAUGCAAGUCGAACGCGGGGAGCAAUCUCUGCGUGGCGCACGGGUGAGUAACGCGUGGGAACCUGCCCUCGAGUGGGGGAUAACCCGGCGAAAGCCGGGGUAAUACCGCAUACGUCCCGUAGCAAUACGGGAGAAAGAUUUAUCGCUCGAGGAGGGGCCCGCGUCGGAUUAGCUAGUUGGUGAGGUAACGGCUCACCAAGGCGAUGAUCCGUAGCUGGUCUGAGAGGAUGAUCAGCCACACUGGGACUGAGACACGGCCCAGACUCCUACGGGAGGCAGCAGUGGGGAAUAUUGGACAAUGGGCGCAAGCCUGAUCCAGCAAUGCCGCGUGAGUGAUGAAGGCCUUAGGGUUGUAAAGCUCUUUCGCACGCGACGAUGAUGACGGUAGCGUGAGAAGAAGCCCCGGCUAACUUCGUGCCAGCAGCCGCGGUAA